GUUUCUGUAGUAUAGUGGUUAUCACGUUUGCCUCACAAGGAAAAGUCCCUGGUUUGAAACCAGGUGGAAACA